ACGGUUAGGGUUUUCGAUCUCACCCAGUAUCCCAGCUCUAUAAAUGAGAAGCGAGCGCCUACGCCGCCACUCACCCUCGUCCCCCCAAACUCGCCAAAUCCGCCGCAGCCGCCUUUAGACGAGACCGAGAGCGCGAGGUCCACCCCCGCCGCCGCGAUGAGGGCCAAGUGGAAGAAGAAGAGAAUGAGGAGGCUCAAGAGGAAGCGCCGAAAGAUGAGGCAGAGAUCCAAGUAGGCACCCCAUGAGGAAGGGAAGCUACUCGGGCACCAUUUCCGAGGCGCGUUGGGAUGAUUCUGACGUGUUUCGGUGUAGCUGCAGGAGAUGCGAACCUAACUUGUGUUUUGGUUAAUCUUAGCUGUUCUUGUCUGGUCAUCUUUUAAGGCCGGGUUUUUAUGUAAUGUGGGAUAAUCAUAUGUUGCUUUAUGACUGAGGUUUAUGCAGUUAAGAGAAUAUGGUACUCGAAUA